rfam:Schistosoma margrebowiei strain Zambia genome assembly, scaffold: SMRZ_contig0004042
AUUUAGCUGACUAGUCCCAUAUAGGACGAAACGUGCGUCCUGGAU